UUGAUCAUGGCUCAGGACGAACGCUGGCGGCGUGCCUAAUACAUGCAAGUAGAACGCUGAAGAGAGGAGCUUGCUCUUCUUGGAUGAGUUGCGAACGGGUGAGUAACGCGUAGGUAACCUGCCUUGUAGCGGGGGAUAACUAUUGGAAACGAUAGCUAAUACCGCAUAACAAUAGGUGACACAUGUCAUUUAUUUGAAAGGGGCAAUUGCUCCACUACAAGAUGGACCUGCGUUGUAUUAGCUAGUAGGUGAGGUAACGGCUCACCUAGGCGACGAUACAUAGCCGACCUGAGAGGGUGAUCGGCCACACUGGGACUGAGACACGGCCCAGACUCCUACGGGAGGCAGCAGUAGGGAAUCUUCGGCAAUGGGGGCAACCCUGACCGAGCAACGCCGCGUGAGUGAAGAAGGUUUUCGGAUCGUAAAGCUCUGUUGUAAGUCAAGAACGAGUGUGAGAGUGGAAAGUUCACACUGUGACGGUAGCUUACCAGAAAGGGACGGCUAACUACGUGCCAGCAGCCGCGGUAAUACGUAGGUCCCGAGCGUUGUCCGGAUUUAUUGGGCGUAAAGCGAGCGCAGGCGGUUUGAUAAGUCUGAAGUUAAAGGCUGUGGCUCAACCAUAGUUCGCUUUGGAAACUGUCAAACUUGAGUGCAGAAGGGGAGAGUGGAAUUCCAUGUGUAGCGGUGAAAUGCGUAGAUAUAUGGAGGAACACCGGUGGCGAAAGCGGCUCUCUGGUCUGUAACUGACGCUGAGGCUCGAAAGCGUGGGGAGCGAACAGGAUUAGAUACCCUGGUAGUCCACGCCGUAAACGAUGAGUGCUAGGUGUUGGAUCCUUUCCGGGAUUCAGUGCCGCAGCUAACGCAUUAAGCACUCCGCCUGGGGAGUACGACCGCAAGGUUGAAACUCAAAGGAAUUGACGGGGGCCCGCACAAGCGGUGGAACAUGUGGUUUAAUUCGAAGCAACGCGAAGAACCUUACCAGGUCUUGACAUCCCGAUGCUAUUUCUAGAGAUAGAAAGUUACUUCGGUACAUCGGUGACAGGUGGUGCAUGGUUGUCGUCAGCUCGUGUCGUGAGAUGUUGGGUUAAGUCCCGCAACGAGCGCAACCCCUAUUGUUAGUUGCCAUCAUUCAGUUGGGCACUCUAGCGAGACUGCCGGUAAUAAACCGGAGGAAGGUGGGGAUGACGUCAAAUCAUCAUGCCCCUUAUGACCUGGGCUACACACGUGCUACAAUGGUUGGUACAACGAGUUGCGAGUCGGUGACGGCAAGCUAAUCUCUUAAAGCCAAUCUCAGUUCGGAUUGUAGGCUGCAACUCGCCUACAUGAAGUCGGAAUCGCUAGUAAUCGCGGAUCAGCACGCCGCGGUGAAUACGUUCCCGGGCCUUGUACACACCGCCCGUC
rnacentral:rRNA from 1 species